AUUGAACGCUGGCGGCAGGCCCAACACAUGCAAGUCGAACGAGUGGCGGACGGGUGAGUAACGUCUGGGAAAAUGCCUGAUGGAGGGGGAUAACUACUGGAAACGGUAGCUAAUACCGCAUACCAGCAGAUGUGCCCAGAUGGGAUAAGCUUGUUGGUGGGGUAACGGCUUACCUAGGCGACGAUCCCUAGCUGGUCUGAGAGGAUGACCAGCAACACUGGAACUGAGCCACGGUCCAGACUCCUACGGGAGGCUGCUGUUGGGUAUAUUGCACGAUGGGUGCAAGCCUGAUGCAGCCAUGCCGCGUGUAUGAAGAAGGCCUUCGGGUUGUAAAGUACUUUCAGCGGGGCGGCGUUACCCGCAGAAGGAGCACCGGCUAACUCCGUGCCAGCGGCCGCGGGAAUAC
rnacentral:rRNA from 1 species